rnacentral:rRNA from 1 species
UACGUAGGGGGCAAGCGUUGUCCGGAUUCAUUGGGCGUAAGAGCGUGUAGGCGGCCAGGUAGGUCGGUUGUGAAAACUGGAGGCUCAACCUUCAGACGUCGACCGAAACCAUCUGGCUAGAGUCCGGGAGAGGAGAGUGGAAUUCCUGGUGUAGCGGUGAAAUGCGCAGAUAUCAGGAAGAACACCCGUGGCGAAAGCGGCUCUCUGGAACGGUACUGACGCUGAGAGGCGAAAGCGUGGGGAGCGAACAGG